GCUAGUCUUUGUUUUGCUCAUUUGAGUCAUUGAUGGUGAGCUCUUUCAUUCCUUCUUCUAAGAUACUGGCAUCAUCAGCACCCUCUCUCUUUUCUGAUGGAAGAUCAUUAGUCUCAUCAAAAACUACAUGGAUUGACUCUUUUACUACUAGAGUUCUUUUAUUGAAAACUCUAAAAGCUUUACUAGAAGUGAAAUAGCCAAGGAAGAUAGCUUUAUCA
rnacentral:lncRNA from 1 species